rnacentral:antisense_RNA from 19 species
CGUAGCGGUAGGACGGAGGUGGGACGCCUUGUGCGUGCCGGUUUCUAGAUGACUGGUCUGUCAACCCGCCUUCGUUCUACCACCA